rnacentral:rRNA from 1 species
UAUCAGUCAUGCAUAGCAUAUCAAUAAGCGGAGGAAAAGAAACUAACAAGGAUUCCCUUAGUAACGGCGAGUGAAGCGGGAAGAGCUCAAAUUUGAAAUCUUCAAGGUUUUACCUUGACGAAUUGUAGUUUAAAGAAGUGUUUUCUGUUGAAGUUUUGGUAAAAGUUCUUUGGAAUAGGACAUCAUAGAGGGUGAGAAUCCCGUAUUUGACCAUUACUUUCAGCUUUGUGAUACACUUUCAAAGAGUCGGAUUGUUUGGGAGUGCAGUCCAAAAUGGGUGGUAAAUUUCAUCUAAAGCUAAAUAUCGGCGAGAGACCGAUAGCGAACAAGUACCGUGAGGGAAAGAUGAAAAGAACUUUGAAAAGAGAGUUAAACAGUACGUGAAAUUGUCAAAAGGGAAGCGUUUGACACCAGUGUUGUUUUCUCGAAAAUCAAUUAAAAAGAGUUGGAUUUUGUGUUGUAUUGACUUUAUCAGGCUUUCUACACUCUUUUCCAGCUUUUUUUAAUGCACUUUUCGUUUAACAAGUCAACAUCAGUUUCUUUUGUUGUAAAAAGGUCAUUGGAAGGUGGCUUUCUCUUCGGAGAAAGUGUUUAUAGCCUUUGACUCAUGCAGUCGGAGAGACUGAGGUCUGCAGCGUAGAUCCUUCGGGGUUAGAUACAUUUGUGCUAAGUUAUAGCUUUUCAUAGACAACUUGUUGACUAUGUUUAGUCUUGUAGCUUACUCGCUUAUGCUAUUUUACCUACGCUUAGGAUGUUGAACUCUAUCACACACAG